AAAACGACUCUCGGCAACGGAUAUCUCGGCUCUCGCAUCGAUGAAGAACGUAGCGAAAUGCGAUACUUGGUGUGAAUUGCAGAAUCCCGUGAACCAUCGAGUCUUUGAACGCAAGUUGCGCCCGAAGCCGUCAGGCCGAGGGCACGCCUGCCUGGGCGUCACGC
rnacentral:rRNA from 15 species